CUAACCUGCCCAAUGAGGAGUUCAAUGGCCGCAGUAUUUUAACUGUGCUAAGGUAGCAUAAUCAUUUGUCUUUUAAUUGAGGGCUAGUAUGAAAGGUUGGACGAGGUAUUAACUUUCUUUAACUUAAUUAAAUGAAUUUAAUUUUUUAGUUAAAAAGCUAAAAUUUAUUUAUUGGACGAGAAGACCCUAUAGAUCUUUAUAAUUUUAUGUUUUAGUAAUUUAGAGAUUAUUUUAUUUAAAGCAAAAGAAUUAUUUUGUUGGGGUGACCAUAGAAUUUAAAAAACUUCUAUUAAAUAAUAUCAUUCAUUUAUGUUUUUUUGAUCCAUAUUUUAUGAU
rnacentral:rRNA from 1 species